UUACAACUUAAUAUGUCAGUGAAUUUCAAAGUGCUUUAUGAAAUAUUAAAUUUUAAUAACAAUAGAUUUUAAAUAAACUUUAAAAAUUCUUGUUUGAAUAACAAUAGACUUAUCAUAAAGGAUUUGAACGGUAAGUGAUAGAAUAUGCUUCCACUAUUCUUGUGUAUUAUGUUUCUGUUGAUAGCAAUCCAUGUAUUAUAGGAAUAUCACCUCACGUUUGUAACGGUAUCAAAUCUAUGUAUCUCUGUAAUCAUUGUGAAUAAUCAAGAGAGUUAUUCAAACUUACAUGUAGAGCAUGAUUUUCUUUGAUCUUCCUUUUCAUUCAAAAUUUUUUUUAUCGUCAUCUUUCAAUUAUUCUUCUACAAUCGAUCUCUUAUGGCUACGGUUGAAAGAGCUUUUGGAGUGGCGAAUAUCAAAAGCACAUUCCACUAGUGCUUCAUCUUGAUGUUUUUAACUACGACACAUGGAGAGAACUUUUUAUCACCCAUUGCUUCACGUUUGAUCUCUUAGGUCAUGUCGUUUUUGACGAGUCACAUUUUUAGGUGCGCAGAAGCAAUCUUCUAAUUUAACCUCUUAUGAAUUUCUUGACUGUGCACCUUCUCCUAUUUUUCAAUCCAUCCUCCAAACAGAGUUCAUUCCAAAUGUGCCAAACACUACUUCUUCUCAUUCAUCUACAACGGUUCCUAUCACUCAAGCUGUUCCUCAGAUUGCUUCUCCACCAAGAAUGAUAACUCGAGGACAGCUAGGGAUCGUUAAACCAAGAAAGAUCUUCACUCUUUAUGCUUCCUCUACCUCUCGCAUUUUUACUACUCACCAAAAAGCCAUAUCUGAUCCCAAUUGGAAACCUUAGAUGGCGGAAGAGUAUGAUGCACAAGUUAUCAAUAAGACUUGGAGGUUGGUUUCUCGACCAAUAGAUGCUAACGUUAUUAACUCUCUGUGGUUGUAUAAGUUGAACAUGAUGCAGAUGGGAAUCCGACAAGGCACAAAUCAAGGCUGGUGGCAAAUGGAAUAACACAUGAGGAAGGGAUAGACUAUGAUGAGACAUUUAGCCCCGUCGUCAAGCCUGCUACGAUACAAACGGUUCUCAAUGUUGCUCUAAGCCACAUAUGGGAGAUGAAGCAGUUAGACGUGAAGAACACCUUUCUACACGGCUCCAUAUCAGAGGACAUUUACAUGCAUUAGCCACCAGGAUUUGUCGACAAGAACUAUCCUCACUAUGUUUGCAAGUUGGAGAAGGCAUUUGACGGGCUCAAACAGGAUCCGAGGGCGUGGAAUGCACGGUUCAGCAACUUCAUCUUGCACCUUGGAUUUAUCACAACAAGAACAGAUGCUUCUCUGUUCAUUUACAACCGUACGGAGAGAUGGCAUACCUGCUUCUAUACAUAGACGACAUCAUCUUGACAGGCUCCAUUUCUAGUUUGCUGCAACGAAUCACUACAAGCCUGAAACAAGAAUUCCCGAUGUCAUAUAUGGGAAAGCUCAAAUAUUUUUUGGGCAUAAAGGUAGAUUACAACAAAGCUGGUAUGUUCCUAUCACAAAAGCAUUACGCAACAGAGAUAAUAAAGAGAGCUGGAAUGACAGGAUGCAAACAUCUUUCAACUCCAGCUGAUGUCAAUUCAAAACUAUCGGCAGAAGGAGGAGACAAAAUCGCAAAUUCGAAGCACUACAGAAGCCUGGCUGGAGCACUGCAAUAUCUUACUUUCACCAGACCAGAUAUAGCUUAUGCUGUCCAACAGAUUUCUUGUUCAUACACGACCCGCGAUCAGAACACCUCAAUGCGCUAAAACGCAUCAUACGCUACGUGCAAGGUACUGUCGAUCACGAACUUCAAAUGUAUAAGUCAAAAAUAGACACAAUUACUGCCUAUUUAGAUGCGGACUGGGCCGCUUGUCCUGAUACAAGACGAUCAACAUCAGGCUACUGCGUCUACUUGGGAGACAACCUCAUCUCUUGGUCCUCCAAACGGCAGCAGAUUGUCUCACGCUCAAGUGCAGAGGCUGAAUAUCGAGGAGUAGCUAACACGGUAGCUGAGGCGUGCUGGAUCAAAAACAUGUUGCUCAAGCUUCAUCACCCAAUGUCCCGAGCUACAUUAGUCUUCUAUGACAACAUUAGCUCUAUAUACUUGUAUGCGAACCCCAUCAAACAUCAACGCACCAAGCAUGUGGAGUUAGACCUUCAGAGAGAAGGUAGCACUUGGUCAGGUUAAGGUCCUCCAUGUUCCGACAUCUUACUAAUAUGCUGACAUCUUCACGAAAGGCUUACCUUCCUCACUAUUCUUUGACUUUAGAACCAGUCUAUCCGUCCGACAACCUACCGCUUACACUGAGAGAGGGUGAUAGAAUAUGCCUCCACUAUUCUUGCGUAUUCUGUUUCUGUUGAUAACAAUCCUUGUAUUGUAGGAAUAUCACCUCAUGUUGUAACGGUGUCGACUAUAUGUAUCUCUGUAAUCAUUGUGAAUAAUCAAGAGAGUUAUUCAAACUUACAGUAAGAGCUGUGAUUUUAUUUUUUGGCUGUAUAAAUAUUGUUGUGAUUUUUUUUGCUUUGGGUUUAGAUUUUUAAUUUUUAAAAGUCUUUAAAUUUUGGUUGUAGGUAUUUGUCUCUACAGAGUAAUUAUAAAGACAUGAAUUUAAAAAGUGCCGUGAAUUUAAAAAAAAAUGGCUAUGAGCUUUAAAAAAAAUACAAAUCAAGAUUGAUGUAGAUUUAAGACUAUAUGUAUAAUUGUGGCGGUGGAGAACAUCUACAGCAAUAGCCAAUCACACCAUUUAAUACAAAUCGUUUCAAAUCUACUUUUAUUCAAAAGUGAAGUUUAAAAAAAACACUUUAAAAUAUAAGAUAAUUUCUUUUAUAAAAAAUAACAAUUCAAAUCUCGUAUUUAAAAAAAAUUAGAAUGGUAUAAGAAAAUCACACCAAAUUUUUUAGUUAUCUAAAAUCAUCCAAAAUUCUACUUAAAUAUAUCACUUCAAAUUUGAAAUUAAAUACACCCCUAUAAGUAUUUUACUCGAUUUGAGUUACAAAAUACUCAAACUGAUCAUGUAUAUUGUAUUUUAAAAUUUUGUAUAAUCUAUAUCCAAUCUAAUUUCUAGUAGAUAUCCUAAAAUUUGAAAAUAUAAUUUGUAGACCUGUUAAUAUCCAAAAUAAGUAUUCCUAAUUUAAAUUAUAUCUCAUUUUUAUUUUAAUCCAACAAUGAAAAUAUAUGAAUAUGUGACAUUAUUAACUGAAUAUUAACGGAUCUAAUUGGGUUUUAAACAAAAUUACAUGUAGUUAAACUCUCCCAAACAUAUAUAAAACCUGACUAGAUCUAUAAGCUGAAUCGUCAAAUUCAAAGAAAAAAUCCGAAAGUGAAUGAAUACCUAAACUUUUUUUUUAAUACAUAAACCUCAUUGUUUAACUUUAAACAACUGCGUCAAACAGAGAAUAAACUAAAGGUCGCAAUUUAUGUUUAAUUUGGAGAAUAGUAGCACGAGUGAAAAAAAGAGAAACAGCACAAAAGGAACAGGAAAAUAGAUUAUUUUGAUAGACUAUUUCUGUAUCAAAAGAACAGACAGGAAAUACUGUUGUUGUUUUUUACUUUAGCAUUCGGAUCGGACUUCCUAUGUAGUAACGCACGUUUGAUUACUUUAUUUUCUCGUGAGAGAAUGUCUAUUGCAAUAAUUGCCGUCGAAUAUGGAGGAUAUAUUAUUUGGUCGUCUAUAUCGUAUAACUUAACACAAAGUUAGUAGAUCAUUUAUAUAUGGCCUCGUUUGUAGAUUUGCUACUCCAAUAUGCGACUGGACGCAGGUAGUAUGUCGUAGAUCGUGUGAUAUUUAAAUGAACAGGACCAUGGUAUUUUGGUCAAACGGGUAAUAGAUUGUUUCCAUUGGGGGCGUCUACUCUUCUAAUGAAAGUUAAUUUAACAUCGUUUAAAUUUCGUUUUAGAAAAAUGUACGGCUCUUAAUAUCCAUCACCUCCUAACCACUAAAAAAAAAACAUGCAGCGAAUAUUUUUUUUUUUUAAAACAAAACUUUGAGAAUACGGAGGAAACUUUUUUUUUUCUUCGGAAAAGACUAUUAUAAAACGAUCAAAAUUACAAAGCAGGUCAUUACACCAAACACUAGAGAUCAAAGCCGGCGGACAAUAAAAAAGUCUUUGAAGAUACACAAUUCAAUAUUGGAACGCUAAGCAAAAGAGAUGAAUCCAAACCAAUAAACUCAGCUGAAACAACAAAAGAAAAAUGAAGAAAGGACGAUGAAAUCGGACUUCUCACGACACCCUCGCUACAGUAUGUCAUCUCGCUGUCAAAGCCAUGAGUUCUCUCGGAAACAUCCAAACUCCGCUUUACCAGAAGGACUGUGGACAUUAUUAACCAAUUUCGAUCGGAAGACGACGGAUUUCGUCUACGAGGAAGAGCUCCAGAGAUUUCUUGAGAGUGGUGCACUCUCAGAGCUAAGCGUCGCCUUCUCUCGUGAAGGUCCAACCAAAGAAUAUGCACAGCACAAGAUGAUGGACAAGGUAAUGAGCUUAGUAACCAGAUCUUUGUGUAGUUUCUCAGAUUCUUGAGCUUUCAGUUAUUCGCAAUGCAGGCUUCUGAUAUCUGGAACAUCAGAACAUGAUCUCUCAAGGAGCUUAUGUAUAUGUUUGUGGUGACGCCAAAGGCAUGGUAAGAAACGUUCACAGAUCUCUUCACACAAUAGCUCAAGAACAGGUUUGUAUGAGACACCCAAAAUCUUAGUAAAUAAGUUGUAUAGAUAUGAAUUCAAUUUGAGCUCUUCUGAAACCAGCCAGAUAUAACUGAAACUGAUCUCACAUAGAAGAGUAACAGUGAAGUCUUAAUGCUUUUCUUCUCUUCUUCUGUAUAUAACUUGAAAAAAAUAAGCUAAUGUUUAAUCAUUUUUUUAUUAAGAAUCUUUAAUUAAGAGACUAGCAUUAGAGCACAUAAAUAUUCAAAUCUCUUAACUAAGUGUCUUAACUAACAUUUACUAUUUAAAAAGUACUUAAGAGAUCUUAAACGGGUCUUUGGGUUAAUGAUGCUCUUAUUAAUUUAGUUAAGUAUGUUUUUUAAUAGGGCGUCAGUUUGCGUUCAUAUCCAUUGUGAUAACCCGCCUUCGCGAUAAGAAUGGUCAAGACAGAAGAUUGGUCGAACAUCUACUUGGUGGUGGAAUCGCAGGUGAUAAAGAUCGGUCGGGAAAUUUUGAAGAACGUGGUGGUCGAAGAAAUAAUCGUGAGUGAACUAUGAGUCGACAAAGUUGCUCGACCAUAAUUAGAAGAUGUCUUAGAUUGAUCAGACAGAUGUUUUGGAAGCAUAACAUUUUUGGAAGCACGACAUUUCCGAAGCACAACGUUUCUUCAGCACAAAGUAAUCCGCAAAACUUCGUAUCAGCGGAAUAUUAAAAAAUCAUAAUAUUCCGAGAGAGAGAGAUAGAAGUAGAAAAAAAAUCAAGUGAUUCCGAGAUUUCAAGAGUUUUCGAGAAUUUUCGAGAUCACUUACUACACCAGUUUUGAGUCGUCGCCUAGAGGAGUUUCUGUUUGAGUUGAGAGUUGUUCAAGGGAAGACUUUGAGGUCAGUUGGGAGAGGAGGCUACUUGAGAAGAACAAGAAAGGGUUUUGGUCGAGGAUUCGGGCAAGGGUCAAAGCCACAACGAACCAAACACUGUAAGUCAAUUGCUGACUUGUUUUCAUGCAGGUUCCCGUUACUUGGAAGUUGGAUCAUGGCAGGAGGCCGGGUCUAACUGCGUAACGGUUUGAUUAGUUAAUAGUCGUGGUUUGGUUGAUUGAGCUGAUAGCAUGAUUAGUUAUUGCUUGGGAAUCGUAGUAGCAUGCUAAUGGUUAGGCUGCUUGUUUUGUUAGCGAAUGCGAACCCUUAGAUAAUAUCGCUAGAUUGUGGAUAGAUAGGUAUUCUGGAAUCUAUCUUGGGUUGAUUGCUAGGUUGUUAGAUUGCAGGCGUUGAUAAUUAUUGCUAUUGCGUUAUUAUUUGUUUGCAUGUAGGGAUUGUGAUGAUGUUAUUGGUCAGUACUAUGGAAUUUAGUUAUUGUAGACUGAAUUUCAAGUACGCAUUAUUAUGGUUGAGUUAGUAGAGGAUUUAGGCCAUAUAGACCGAAUUCCUAGUUAGUGUUGUACUAAGGGUCCUAGGCUAUAUAGGCUGGAUUCUUGGUACUAGUGUUAUUGUCGAGCUGUGUCGAUAGCUUGUCUGAUCAGCAAUGCUAGGAUGAUACGCUGCAAGGAAAGUUACGUAAGCAUGUCCCUACGCGGCUUAGCAGAGUGGUUGCAUAAAGCAUGCUCUGUACAGGGAGGUUGCUAGGAAGCAUGCUUCGUCAUGUGGUAUCCUUGGUGGGUGCUGCAUGUUAGCUUGCGGCAAGGAAGGUUGCUAAAGUAUAUCCCCACGCGGCUGGACAGAGAGGUUGCAUAAAGCAUGCUCUGUACGGAGAGGUUGUUAGAAAGCAUGCUCCGUCAUGUGAUACCUUAUUGGAGUUACAUGUCAGUAGUUUGGAUGUUAUAGCCCGUGUGCCUCUGUGGCUGUGGCUGCGAGUUAGGUGUUCCGGGUCGAGAAUGUGAGGAGAAAGCUCAAAUGUGUUGUUCAGUGUACAAGUGUAGAGUCUUAGCAUAUAUUAUAUUAUUAUGCUAAUGGUGGAUUAUAUUCCACUGCUUAUCUUAUUUAUGUUUAUGUUCUUGUUGAGUAACUCGGGUUACUACGGGAGAAUUCUUGAGUGAUGAUUAUUAUUGUUGUUGUGUUAUUAUUCGGUGAACUUCUCGUCUUAGAUUGUUUGGGGUUGGGAUGGCGAGGGGUUGUAUUUGUUAGUUAGGACCCUGGCUCACUAAGUGACAUUAGGUUACUCAUUAAACUCAUCUAUCGUUGCAGAAAACUUUAGUGGGAGAUCGGGUAGCGUGGAAGCUGGACGUUAGGAGCAUCGAAAGUACUUUUGCCUUUCCUUUUGUAAGACGGUACUAGUUAAAGUCUUUUGACUUGAUAUUGACACUAGGUCUGGAUCCAAUUGUAAUAUUUUAUUUGUAACAAAUUUUUAUUAUAUUCAAUAAAAAUGAUGUUUUAUAUUCAUUACAAUGGUUCUCUGAUAAAUAGACUUGUCUAGUCUAAACACAACAUUAGGUUUAGGUACGGGUUGAAAAGCCUUAGGCCGCGAUCUAAAGGAACCGUUAACUCAUAGUACGGGUUGCAAAGCCUUAAGCCAUGAUUUAACGGGACAUGUUAGUGGAUGAACUGGUCAAAGUUGCGAAUUAAGUUCUGUGACUUUGACUGGAUUGUCCCUAGCCCGUCAUGUAGUGCUUCCGGACCAUGGUGUUGGGUUGGACGGUCAGUCAUGUUCUUGUUUGAUUGUUGGCUGGCCGGUUGGCCUUUCAUCUCCAACCCUUGGUGUGGGUCGUCCGUCAUUGAUUGUUGGCCGAUGGAUCGAUCUAUGCCUAGGACGGUUCGGGGUGUUACAUCCAUACCCUCGUGUCAGGAUCAUAAUAACAGGUAAAAUUUAAGUUUUUUUUGUAUAAUCCCUUAAAAAAAUUUGAAAGUGUCAUUUGCUAACACUUUAAACCUUGAAAUUUUCACUAACAUUUUUAACCUUCAAAGUGACAACAUCUAAAGAAGAAAGUUGACCAGCUAAAUAGGUAAAAAAAGAUGUGUCAGUUUUUUUUUUAAAAAAAAAAUUAAUUAAUAAAAUAAAAAAAAAUUAAUAAAAUUGGAAAAGUUAACAAAAAACUCAUAAAAUUAAAAAAAAAUCGGAUUUUUUUAAAUCAGAAAAUUAAAUAAAGAUCUAGAAAAUUAAAUAAUAAAAAUUAACUAAAAAUUCAAAAAAAAGAUCAAAUUGAAAUGUAGAAAAACUAAAAAAAUCAUAAAUUUCAAAAAAAUCCGAAAAUUCAAAAAAAAGUUUUUUGUCAUUUUCAACUAUAAAUUCGGAAAUUAUCAUUGGAGAUAUGCCAACAACCUUCAUUGUUAAUGGUUAUGUGAAAAACCGUCAUUGUCAAUUAUGAUAUAUAUAUUUUUUUAAAAAAAAUUGUAAUUUAAUUUUUUUUUUGAAAUUUUGAAAUUUCUAAUUUUUUUUAAUUUUAUGAAUUAAUAUUUUAUUUCUGUAUUUUAAUUUAAUCUUAGUUAUGUUUUUGAAUUAUUAGUUAUUUUUAUUUAAUUUAAUUUUCUAAAUUUUUAUUUUUUCUGAUCUUUGAUUUAAUAUCUGAUUUUUUUUGUUUUCUGAAUUUUUUAUUUAAUUUUAUGAAUUUUUAAUUAAUUUUCAUUUAAUUUUCUGAAUUUGUUUUAUAUGUUUUAUUUUUUGAUUAAAUAAUUCUUUUUUGAGAAGAAAACCUGACACAUUAUCUUUUUACUAGUACAACUGGUCGACUUUUUAUUUUGGAGGUUUUUUUUCUGAUAUAAAUGUCACUUUGAAAACUAAAAGUGAGUGAAAAAACUUCAAAGUUUAAAGUGUUAUAGUAAGUGACACUUUCAAAGUUUUUCUGCGAUUUUCCCUUUAAUUAACUGGAUCUUUUGUAUUGGACUAGCAUAUGUGUAUCGCAAUCUGAAAUUAACUGCUCUCAAAACCUAUUUUUUUAUUUUUUCAUAAGCAAAUAUUAUUUAUUUAUACAAAACCAUUUUUCGUUGGCCUAUAAUAAUACAUAAUAAUAGAGACAAAGAUGACAAGAAAAAAUGUUUUAUGUUGUAAAUCCUUAACAAGAAAAAUGAGAAAUAGAAUUGUCACUUUGUCAUUACUGGAAGAAAUAAGUUGAGGAUGAGAAGAUCUAAAAGAAAACAAAACAGAGUGGAAAUAGGGAAGAGUCGUUAUCUCAGAAAUGGAUCCACGUUGGUAACAUGUCCUUUAAUAAGGAUGCAUCUGCAAUUUCUUAAUAAUAAUUAUUAAUAUGGGUGAUCCAGUCCCGGUCGACGUCUGGAUUGUAACUUGUAAGGAGCAGAAUACACUAGAGCACGAAAAAUCAGACCCACCCACCCAAGGUUAAUGGCCGAAAUUCAGAUAUGGGUUACCAGUAUUGCUAUGACUUUGUUUCAAGUGAGAUUCAAACUCAUGACAGAUUAAUUUGUACUCCUUUUUCAAGAUGAUUCGUCAAGUUUAUUGGCAUUUUACCAAAUCAAGAAGAUGUAUAAGUUCAAAUAAAAUAAUCGGUAGGUACCAUGGAUGGUAUUAAACUUAUUACUCGGACUAUAGUACAUUAAAAACUCUAUAAAUUAAUAAUCACGACAUAUUAAUAAAUUUCAUUGGUUUAAAAUUUGACUGGUUCAAAAUAUGAUAUAAAUCGAUAUAAUAAAAUAACAGUUUUAGAAAUAUUAUGUAAAUAUAUGGUUCAUUUAAAUCAGAAAUUAAUAAGUAGAAACAAAACAUUGUAUUGUUUGUUUUAUAUUCACAAUGAAAUUAUCUCUAUAUCUGUUAACACUUCAAUAUAUAUUGAUAAUAUUUAGUAAAAUUAUAUUUAAAACUAAAUCUAAAUUCUAUGAAACACAUUUUAUAUACACAAAUAAUAUAAGGAAAAUAGUAUGAAAUUCAAAUUUCUAAAAUUUAAUUAAUGUAUAUAAAAAUGAAUAUUUUUUAAUUAUAAGGUAAUAUAUUCGAAUAAAAAUAUUAAAAUGAAACUUUUUAUAAACUAAUAAAUAUAUAAA